GUCUGUGUUCCGAAACAAGGCUGUGGACAAAUGGCAGAGAAGAACACAAGUUACAACUGGUGCAGCUGCUAUUAAAGGAAAGCUCCACGCCUUUAACCAGAACGUUAGUGAACAGGUUGCUUCCUACAUGAGGGAUCCAAGUAGAAUGAUUAAACAAAUGCAACAAUCAAGAUCUACGUACUGUUGCUGUUUUUGGAAGUGUAAGUUUUGGCUUUAAGCUUCUCUACAGUUUGUUCUGACUUUAAAAUUUACACAUCCACAGGUCCCUCGGGAGGCCAUAGAACCAAUUCCAGAGGAAAAACAACAGGAAGGAGACCCUGAACUUGUGGAAGAUGCUGAGUUCUAUAGGCAGUUACUAAAGGAGUUUCUUGAGACCAUCGAUCCAGCUUCCUCGGGUAUAGUAAAAAAAAAUACAUACUGGAAUCGUUAGAUAUGAAAAUUCCCCUAGCGAUAAUCAUUAGAUAGAUACUCAAGUGUUUUUUUUUUUGCUUGUGUUAGUGUAAAGAGUCUUAUGAUAUUCUGAAAUCUCAAUCUUUUGCGCC